rnacentral:snRNA from 1 species
CAAGUACCGCGAGGUAAAG